CCCACUGUCCCUGUCUACUAUCC
rnacentral:siRNA from 1 species